GCAUCCACGGCCAGCUCGGAGCAUGUCCGUGCGCCAUCGGCAUGUGAUCCUGUUGGAGUUGAUGAGUGGCAGAGCCUCAUUGCAAAGGCGUUGUAUAUGCGGUCAACUACAGUUUGUGUGUCCGUUUAAAUAGCUGCAGCAGCUGAACAUCACAUG